rnacentral:rRNA from 1 species
GAUGAACGCUAGCGGCAGGCUUAAUACAUGCAAGUCGAACGGCAGCACAGUGUAGCAAUACAUGGGUGGCGAGUGGCGCACGGGUGCGUAACACGUAUGCAAUUUGCCCCAUAACUGGGGGAUAGCCCUCCGAAAGGAGGAUUAAUACCCCAUGACCCAGCGAGGUGGCAUCACUUUUCUGGUAAAUCUCCGGAGGUUAUGGAUGAGCAUGCGUCUGAUUAGCUAGUUGGUGAGGUAACGGCUCACCAAGGCAACGAUCAGUAGGGGGUC